AUUGAACGCUGGCGGCAUGCUUUACACAUGCAAGUCGAACGGCAGCGCGGGCUUCGGCCUGGCGGCGAGUGGCGAACGGGUGAGUAAUACAUCGGAACGUGCCCAGUAGUGGGGGAUAGCUCGUCGAAAGCCGGAGUAAUACCGCAUACGACCUGAGGGUGAAAGCGGGGGAUCUUCGGACCUCGCGCUAUUUGAGCGGCCGAUGGCAGAUUAGCUAGUUGGUGGGGUAAAGGCCUACCAAGGCGACGAUCUGUAGCUGGUCUGAGAGGACGACCAGCCACACUGGGACUGAGACACGGCCCAGACUCCUACGGGAGGCAGCAGUGGGGAAUUUUGGACAAUGGGCGAAAGCCUGAUCCAGCAAUGCCGCGUGUGUGAUGAAGGCCUUCGGGUUGUAAAGCACUUUUGGCGGGAACGAAAAGGACUGUGCCAAUACCACGGUUCGAUGACGGUACCCGCAGAAUAAGCACCGGCUAACUACGUG
rnacentral:rRNA from 1 species